UACGGGGGGGACAAGCGUUGUUCGGAUUUACUGGGCGUAAAGGGCGCGUAGGCGGGCCUUCAAGUCAGAUGUGAAAACUCCGGGCUUAACCCGGAGCCUGCAUUUGAUACUGUGGGUCUUGAGUACAGGAGAGGAGAGUGGAAUUCCAGGUGUAGCGGUGAAAUGCGUAGAUAUCUGGAAGAACACCAGUAGCGAAGGCGGCUCUCUGGACUGAUACUGACGCUCAAGCGCGAAGGCUUGGGGAGCAAACAGG
rnacentral:rRNA from 1 species